rnacentral:rRNA from 3 species
GGAAGGAUCAUUCUCAAUAUUUUU